AGAGUUUGAUCCUGGCUCAGGACGAACGCUGGCGGCGCGCCUAACACAUGCAAGUCGAACGGAGCUGAGAGGAGCUUGCUUUUCUUAGCUUAGUGGCGAACGGGUGAGUAACGCGUGAGUAACCUGCCCUGGAGUGGGGGACAACAGUUGGAAACGACUGCUAAUACCGCAUAAGCCCACGGUGCCGCAUGGCACUGCGGGAAAAGGAUUUAUUCGCUUCAGGAUGGACUCGCGUCCAAUUAGCUAGUUGGUGAGGUAACGGCCCACCAAGGCGACGAUUGGUAGCCGGACUGAGAGGUUGAACGGCCACAUUGGGACUGAGACACGGCCCAGACUCCUACGGGAGGCAGCAGUGGGGGAUAUUGCACAAUGGGGGAAACCCUGAUGCAGCGACGCCGCGUGGAGGAAGAAGGUUUUCGGAUUGUAAACUCCUGUCGUUAGGGACGAUAAUGACGGUACCUAACAAGAAAGCACCGGCUAACUACGUGCCAGCAGCCGCGGUAAAACGUAGGGUGCAAGCGUUGUCCGGAAUUACUGGGUGUAAAGGGAGCGCAGGCGGACCGGCAAGUUGGAAGUGAAAACCAUGGGCUCAACCCGUGAAUUGCUUUCAAAACUGCUGGCCUUGAGUAGUGCAGAGGUAGGUGGAAUUCCCGGUGUAGCGGUGGAAUGCGUAGAUAUCGGGAGGAACACCAGUGGCGAAGGCGACCUACUGGGCACCAACUGACGCUGAGGCUCGAAAGCAUGGGUAGCAAACAGGAUUAGAUACCCUGGUAGUCCAUGCCGUAAACGAUGAUUACUAGGUGUUGGAGGAUUGACCCCUUCAGUGCCGCAGUUAACACAAUAAGUAAUCCACCUGGGGAGUACGACCGCAAGGUUGAAACUCAAAGGAAUUGACGGGGGCCCGCACAAGCAGUGGAAGUAUGUGGUUUAAUUCGAAGCAACGCGAAGAACCUUACCAGGUCUUGACAUCCGAUGCUUAUUGCAAGAAUGCAUGAAGUCCUUCCGGGAAUCCAAGACAAGUGGUGGCAUGGUUGUCGUCCCCUCCUGGCCUGGGAAAUGUGGGGUUAAUUCCCCGCCCCAAGGCCAACCCUUAUUUGCCGUUUAUACCCCAAAGAGGACUCUGGGGGAAAUUGCCUUUGACAAAACGGAGGAAGGUGGGGAUGACGUCAAAUCAUCAUGCCCUUUAUGACCUGGGCUACACACGUACUACAAUGGCGUUUAACAAAGAGAAGCAAGACCGCGAGGUGGAGCAAAACUCAGAAACAACGUCUCAGUUCAGAUUGCAGGCUGCAACUCGCCUGCAUGAAGUCGGAAUUGCUAGUAAUCGCGGAUCAGCAUGCCGCGGUGAAUACGUUCCCGGGCCUUGCACACACCGCCCGUC
rnacentral:rRNA from 1 species